AGGGUUUGAUUUAUCAAGCACUGGCAUCCGGGUGAGUAACGCGUAGGUCAUCUGCCCCUAUCACAGACAUAACAGUUCUAACGGACUGCUAAUAUCUGAUGAGGCGAGCAAUCGUCAAAGCUUUGGCGGAUAGGGAUGAGCCUGCGAUCUGAUUAGGUAGUUGGUGAGGUAAUGGCUCACCAAGCCUUCGAUCAGUAGCUGGUCUGAGAGGACGAACAGCCAC
rnacentral:rRNA from 1 species